AAAAAAUGUUGUAAGACAGAGAUUGCACGAUCAAUUUAUACAAAAGUGGUUUUCAGAUGUGUCUAAUUCUUCACGAGGGGAAUAUUAUUCUAAGUUUAAGACAGAGUUUGAAUUAGAAGAUUAUCUUUUACGGUUAAAUCCUGUAAAUAGAAACUAUAUAUGUAAACUGAGAACAUGCAAUCUCAAAUUUCCGAUAGAGACGGGACGUUGGGCUGGUAUACCAAGGAAUGAAAGAUUGUGCAAUCUCUGUAAACAAGUUGUUGGAAACGAAUUCCAUUAUAUUUUCUGCUGUAAUGAAUUGAAAGAUAUUCGAAC
rnacentral:lncRNA from 1 species